UCAGAGCUUGCUCUGAUGAAAGUGGCGCACGGGUGAGUAACGCGUGGAUAACCUGCCCUGGUAUCUGGGAUAACAUCUCGAAAGGGGUGCUAAUACCGGAUAAGCCUACGGACUCCUCGGAGUCUGCAGGAAAAGGAGGCCUCUAUUUAUAAGCUUCCGUAUCAUGAUGGGUCCGCGUACCAUUAGCUAGUUGGUGGGGUAAUGGCCUACCAAGGCGACGAUGGUUAGCUGGUCUGAGAGGAUGAUCAGCCACACUGGAACUGAGACACGGUCCAGACUCCUACGGGAGGCAGCAGUGGGGAAUUUUGCGCAAUGGGGGAAACCCUGACGCAGCAACGCCGCGUGAGUGAUGAAGGCUUUCGGGUCGUAAAGCUCUGUCAGAGGGGAAGAAAUGGAAACGGUUAAUACCCGUUUUUCUUGACGGUACCCUCAAAGGAAGCACCGGCUAACUCCGUGCCAGCAGCCGCGGUAAUAC
rnacentral:rRNA from 1 species